rnacentral:rRNA from 1 species
UACAGAGGGUGCGAGCGUUAAUCGGAAUUACUGGGCGUAAAGCGCGCGUAGGCGGCUUUGCAAGUCGGGUGUGAAAUCCCCAAGCUCAACUUGGGAACUGCAUUCGAGACUGCUUUGCUAGAGUAUGGGAGAGGGAAGUGGAAUUCAGGUGUAGCGGUGAAAUGCGUAGAUAUCUGAAGGAACAUCAGUGGCGAAAGCGACUUCCUGGACCAAUACUGACGCUCAUGUGCGAAAGCGUGGGGAGCAAACAGG